rnacentral:lncRNA from 1 species
UAGAAGUAGGAAUCAAGGAAAUAGUAAACAACUUUGUUAUGGCUCCAAUCAACUCAAGGUUUUCGUGCUUGAUGAUGGCUCUUUUGCUGAUGUCAACCACUUGUUUGUCGAGUCAAGUAUCAGAGACAGAGAGCAUAGGUAUUUUUCUUUCUACUAGUAGAAUCUUGUCCUUUUGCACGAUUCUCCUGUCACAAUGAUAAGGGUGGUAAUAAUAUUUUUACCAAUUUAUAUCCAAGUCAAUUUGAAUAUUUGAUGGUCACUUGUGAAUCACAGAGAAAUCAAAACCUAUUUCAUGGCCCGGAUAUUUUUCUCAUCGUCCAUGCUUUCGUUCAAUGGGCCAUUUGGCUGCCUUCAGUUGUCUUCAAAGUUGAUAUGCAAACAUAAACUGCUUGCUCAAGCUAUACAAUUUAAAUUUUAACAACGGCAUGGACGAUAACAGUUGUUUUUGCCUAUGUUUUUGAGAUUUGCACCCAUUUCCUACCGUAGUACACAUCUUAAAUAAAUGGUUNNNNNNNNNNGAGGGAGUAAUAUAUAGUAUCCGAUUUUAAUUACAAACUGCUCUUUGUUCUGAUGCACUUGUUUUUUUACUGUCAUAGAUAUGAAAGCCAACGCAUGCGCGGGCCGUGAACCUUACCAGUUCAAUUGUACACCUGGAGGCUGUGUUACUGCCUGCAAAAAACUGGGCUGCGGAACUGGGGUUUGCCAUUCA